GCCGCCUUAGCUCAGGGGUAGAGCAACUGAUUCGUAAUCAGUAGGUCCGCGGUUCAAAUCCGCGAGGCGGCACCA
rnacentral:tRNA from 1 species